rnacentral:rRNA from 1 species
UGCGUCUGAAGGUACCUCCAAAGGAAGCUCCGGCUAACUCCGUGCCAGCAGCCGCGGUAAUACGGAGGGAGCAAACGUUGUUCGGAUUUACUGGGUGUAAAGGGUGCGUAGGCGGCUACGUGUGUCAGAGGUGAAAGCUCACGGCUCAACCGUGGAACUGCCUUUGAAACUGCGUAGCUUGAGUCCGAGAGAGGAUGGUGGAAUUCCUGGUGUAACGGUGAAAUGUGCGGAUAUCAGGAAGAACACCGGUGGCGAAGGCGGCCAUCUGGCUCGGUACUGACGCUGAGGCACGAAAGCUAGGGUAUCGAACGGGAUUAGAUACCCCGGUAGUCCUAGCCGUAAACGAUGUCCACUAGGUGUCGGAGGUCCUACCCCUUCGGUGCCGGAGCUAACGCAUUAAGUGGACCACCUGGGGAGUACGCUCGCAAGGGUGAAACUCAAAGGAAUUGACGGGGGCCCGCACAAGCGGUGGAGCAUGUGGUUUAAUUCGAUGCAACGCGAAGAACCUUACCUGGGCUUGACAUGCAGGGGACAGGUGUAGAGAUACACCCUUCUUCGGACUCCUGUACAGGUGCUGCAUGGCUGUCGUCAGCUCGUGUCGUGAAAUGUUGGGUUAAGUCCCGCAACGAGCGCAACCCUUGUCCUUAGUUGCCAGCACGUCAUGGUGGGAACUCUAGGGAGACUGCCGGUGACAAACCGGAGGAAGGUGGGGACGACGUCAAGUCAUCAUGGCCCUUACGUCCAGGGCUACACACGUGCUACAAUGGCACAUACAGAGGGCAGCGAACCCGCGAGGGGAAGCCAAUCCCAAAAAGUGUGCCUCAGUUCGGAUCGCAGUCUGCAACUCGACUG